UGGGAAGGUCAAAGUGAGACCGGUGGCAUAGCCGGUCGCAGGAGGAGUCUGGAAAAACGCCGAUUCUACCUCUGUUUGGCUGGUUCCUCUCUGGAUAUCUAAAGCAGAUCAGGGCUUCCCUGGUGGCGCAGUGGUUAAAAAUCCACCUGCCAAUGCAGGGGACACGGGUUCAAGCUCUGGGCCAGGAAGAUCCCACAUGCUGCAGAGCAACUAAGCCCAUGCACCACAACUACUGAGCCUGCACUCUAGAGCCUGUGAGCCACAACUACUGAAGCCUAGAGACCCAUGCUCCGCAGCAAGAGAAGCCACCGCAAUGAGAAGCCCACCCACAGCAACGAAGAGUAGCCCCUGCUUGCCACAAUUAGAGAAAGCCCACAACGAAGACCCAAGGCAGGCAAAAAUAAAUAAAUUUGAAAUAAAUAAAUAAAGCGGAUCAACCAUCUAGCUGACAAAGUGCAGGAUGGGGGCCCGGGUUCAAUCCCUGGUCCAGGAACUAGAUCCCACAUGCAUGCCACAGCUAAGAGUCCACAUGCCACAGCUAAGAAGUCCAAGACCGCAUGC